GGUACGACUCUCGAUAAUGGAUAUCUUGGCUCUCACAUUGACAAAGAACAUAGAAAAAUGUGAUAUGUGGUGUGAAUUGCAGAAUCCUAUGAACCAUCGAGUCUUUGAAUGCAAGUUGCACCUAAGGCCAUCCGACCGAGGGCACGCCUGCCUGGGCAUCAC
rnacentral:rRNA from 1 species